GCUCCAAUAGCGUAUAUUAAAGUUGUUGCAGUUAAAAAGCUCGUAGUUGAAUUUGUGGCUUAUGUAUGGCCGCUGCUCCAUUGGUUGUGGUGUUGCCUAACAUUGCCAUCUUUGGGUUGAACUUGCGUGGCAUUAGGUUGUCGUGCAGGGGAUGUUCAUCAUUUACUGUGAAAAAACUAGAGUGUUCAAAGCAGGCUUAU
rnacentral:rRNA from 1 species